CCUUGGGAGUGGAUGAAUACCUCCACCCCUGUCUCACCCGUCCAGGCUGCCAGUACCAAUGCUGGGGCUUCCAGGUCCCCUGCUUCACCCCAGUGACCUGGUCAUGGGGGCUUCCAGACCAGCAGGGAAUCUCUUCCUGCCUUUGGAGUCCCCUCCUGCGCCCUCUGAACUCUAGACAGUGCCUCUGGAAGGCACCUCCCUUUCUUCUUCUCCGCAGCCCCCCCUCCCCUGCUGCCUCCCUAAGUGCUCUGUAGGGUGUUUCCAGGUGCUGGCCACAGAGRCAGUCCACAGAUGCGAAAUGCAGAGGUAGAAGUCACCCUCUUUCGCUGGGYCCAGGGACAGUGUGUGUGUACGUGUGAUCUGACAUAUGAUCUGCAUAUAAAUGAACCAUCUUCAGGGACCAGGGACACAAGAACAGGCCUUCAACAUGGGAAACUUGGGGCCACACCAAGAGCAGAUCUGAUCAUGGAACAUCUAGAGAGCUGUGGACACUGCGGACACAGUGGGUGUCUAAGAAGGAAUUAGGGCUUGUUAUCACACCUGAACUUACUCGACCUUGGCCCCUACCCACCUCCACCUUGAAGUGCACCUCAAAAUACUGCAUUUGACAAAAGGACUUUAAGGAAGAGCUGGCCUGUCCUACUUACAGAGCCCGCGAUGGCACAGCAAUCUUGUCAAAACUGGGAGACAYGGGUGUCCAUCUGCAAGGGCUGCCAGAGCAAAGGACCACAGGCUGGGUGGCUUGAAUAACAAAUCAUCUUCCUUGCAGGGCUGGAGGCUGGCAUUUGAGGUCCAAGUGUGGGCAGAAUUGGUGUCUCCCAAGGCCUCCCUCCUGCUGGUCUUCACCUGUUUUUCCUGUGUCUGUUCGGAUACCUCUCCUUAUAAGGACCAGUCCUAUGGGACUAGAGCUCACCCAAACUACCUCGUUUUUUACUGUAGUCACCUCUUCAAAGACUCCAAGGUCCUGGAGGUUAGGACUUCAGCRGGUGAAUCUUAGGGAGACACAGUCCAUCCAAAGUAAACAUCUUAUUUGUAAUGUUUUUUAUUUCUUUUGUGGUGCUGGGGGUUGAACCCCAGGCCUUGUGCAUGUAAGGCAAGCACUCUACCAACUGAGCUACAUCCCCAGCCCCACAACAUGUUGAAAGUCUGUGCUUCGUGGGGAAAUGAGAGCAGGGUGGGCAGACUGCAGUCGGGGGUACAGCUUGCCACUGUGAGUGGGUUUCGUGGACACAGCCACACUUACCCCUCCACAUGCUAUGGAUGAUCGCUUUUAUGUUCAAUGGCAGAGAUUAGUGUCCAAAAGCCACUCGGCUUGCAAAGCCUGGACUAUUUAUGAACUGGCCCUUUAGAAAGGCCUGUGGACGUGGAUGGUGCAGAGUGCACCCUUGGGGCUAGGUAACUUGAUCCUUUAGGGGCUCUUCACCUUUGAGCCCUGAGCUGUUUUACACCUCUGGAACUUGAAGGAAGUGGUCAGUAGCCCAGAUAACCCUUGCCUACAGGCAAGAGGGCAGCUUCUCCUGAAUGUGUUUUUCCUUUCCAAAUCCUCACCAAUAAUGACCUCUUCUUUAAAUCCUGUUUCAAAUUGAUGGUGAUAGCUUACAUAGUUCCCUCAUUAUACAUCUGUAUAGCGGGACACAGGGUAAAAGUGUGUUAGGUUUCUUGUGUUUGAAAAUGCACUGGGAUUAUGAAGAAUAAUGUUUCUGCUCUAGGGGAAAACAUCCCAAAGCACUCAGUGCCAGGAUGUCUGCAAUUUACCUUGAAAUGCACAAACCCACAUCACACCACAGUAGAGGGAAGAGAAAGGAAGCAGACUAAUAUUGACUACUAGGGACCCCAGGGGAGGCCCUGAGGUGUCCUUGAAGGGUGGGCUGUUCAUGCAACUUUUCUGCAGGACUAACAAUUUUCAAAAUAAAUGCCAAAUUCCCAGCCA
rnacentral:lncRNA from 1 species